CUCACGGCCCUUCCCAGCGCAGGGAGGCCUGUAGGAGCGUCCCUUCCCUUUUCUUGCCUUUUACUUUGUGGGAAAGGAAAAAAAAAGUCCUCCACGUGGCUUACUAGGGUCUCUGCUCCCUGCCGCCAAGCAGCUCUGCACAUCUUCCCUGCCGGGCCUCUCCACGCCGCUCCCUGAGACGCUCUGCGGCCCACAGCGAGAGGAGCCCCGCACCUGCCCCCACAGGGCAGCGAGGCACAGCGAGGGAAGGAAGGGCUGCCCACCGACCCCACCGGCACUCUGCUGCCCAGUGAAGUGCACUGAGAAAGUUUCCACGUCUGCAUCCACAUGUACUUUCAGCUACCUGCGCCAGGGAGGAGACUGAGUGGCCUGCAGGGCUAGCUAGAAAGUCUUGAGGGGUGCCUGAAACGUUGAGGGCAGCUGAAUCAGGAGCAAUUGAAAGUAGUCUCUUACAGAGCACCAGUCUCACUAAAACAGAACUUCUAUGAGAUACAUUAGACAUGUUCUGGUCACACUCUGUGACAUGCACUUACACAGAACAUGGCCAUGGCCUGAUUUCUUGUGGUCAAGGUCAAAGAGAUCUUGCUGUGUUCACUGAACCAGUGAACUUCAGCUAGAAGUCCUAACCAAGCUGCCACAGAAAAAAUAUUUCUAAGACCUCCUUGCCCUGUAUGCAAAUAUUGCUUGGCAAAGGUUGGGAAAUUCUUAGAUGUUACUUCAUUCUUCCAAUGGCAUUUUUCUGUGGUUGUUUUUUUGUUUGUUUGUUUGUUUGUGUUUUUGGGUUUUUUUUGUUUGUUUGUUUGUUUUCUUUUUUUCCUUGUCAGACUGUGGUCAGAAAAACAUGCUAAAGACAAGGCUAGGAUUUUGUGGGUCGUACCCAUCUCCAAUUCAUUGUUACGGAAGUUGGUGUUCUCAGCCAUGUAUGAUCCCUCCUACUGCAUCAGGCUACUUCCCAGCUGCCUGGCAGGCCACAAUCUGCUCUUCUCCCAGUUCCUGUCUGCCAUUGAAGGCAUAGAACAUUGCAAUCUGACAGCCAAGCAAGCUGCCAAAAUCCUACCCAAUGUGAGCCAGCAUAUCCUGAAUUCAGUGCAGAUCUUAUUAGCUUCAUCCGGCAUGGAUCAGAAAUCCUCUCCACAGCUGAAAAUCCUUUCCAAGUCAAGGGGGUUUUGCCACCGUCUGAGCAGCUCCCAGCCAUCAGAAGGCUGUUCCCAGAACUGGAUGCUUGGUAACGGCAGGAUACUGGAAUGUGAAACAGAAUCAACCCUGUGGCACUCCAAAAGCCACUUGGACCUGGCAAUAUCCGAGAGCUUUGAGUACAUCUGAAGAAAUCAUAGUAGUGAUGGGAGAAGCAGCUAGGUCCAAAUUAUUAUGAGGCCAAGAAGAUUAAAAGAGUACUGAAGCCAAAUUCCUGGGUCUGUCUUAUCAAUACCUUACUUCUUUCUUCUGCCUUUUUAAAAAACAUGGAGGAAAGCUACCACACAUAAACAAUUUUUUCAUUGUCUAUCAAUAUUCGAAGUACCUGACACAGCAAGAAGAAACCUCUCCAUGGAGACCACACAGUCCUGAAGAACAUUGUGGAAAUGGCUCAGGCCUCAUGAAUAAAAAGUGAAUUACAAAGUGCAUCAGAGCAUCAUUGUAUUGGCUAAUAACCUGCGAAGGGUGUCUGGUUUUACCAUAGACAAUAGUUACAAAAAAACUCUCAUUAUGCCUAGCUCAUCCUAAGGGAACACAGCAGGAUUAGUCUCUCUGGGAUAAGUGCUUUGUUUUACCCAGGCAAGAGAGAGCUGUGAUUUGCAUCUGGAAGGUUCUAAGGACAGAAGUGCCAAAGAGCUCAGCUGGGUAAGUGGCCCCUGUCCAGAGCUUUACACUAUUACUCUAAAUGUAAAGAUAAAACAGUUCCUUGCUGAUCAGCUGUCAUUUGACUGCAUUGUAACCCUCCUAUACCUACCUGGUUUCAGCUACAUCCUUGUCCCCCCAUCACCUGGUAGUGUUCAUCCCUGCUUUCCCUUCCUCUGCAGGGGGUUGUGAAUAUCCACGAGACACUUGCUAAGAGCAGUGACAUCCACAAGAAAGGGAAAUGCUCUGAAGAUCUAACCCAGGCCAAAAGGUGGAGCUGAAACUGGCUUGCACCUUGCCAGAGCAUUGGGGGAAUCUCAGACAUGGUGAGCGGUUAACAGGGGGUUCCCAGGAUAUCACACCAGCUGGGAGCUCUUCAUGCAUCUCACCAUCUCCCCACUUAUUUUUCCUGCAUGCUAUCCUGUUCUUGAUUCCAAGGAUUACUUGCAGGUCCUGCACCAAGGCAACUGUGUGUGUGCCUCAAACCUGCCAUUUCCCCACGCUGUUUUUUUAAAUUGGAUUUUCCAACUUCUCCAAGUGCAGCACAGGACUUGGUAAUCUUGUUUCUCAGGUCUCUCCUUCCUACUUAACUGCUAGAUGUUAGGUCCCCAUCCCUUUCCCCAUUGUAGGAGUUCUGGGCAUGCACAUCUCUGCAUUGUUCCAUUUCCAGUGGUUUUCUCUCCUACCUUUAUCCCAUAUGCAUCAAAGUAUCUGAAGACACUGCAAGACUGUUCAAUAGUUUAGGUGUUCUCUUGGAGGAAAAGGAGCAGGUGGAUGAUGGAGACUGGACUUCCCUUUGAAAGAGGUAAUUGAAAGAAGCCUUUUCAGUUCUCUAUCUUUCACUCUCAAUCUUCCUCAUGUGUGGGCUGCAUACAAUUCUGUCUGUCAUUGUCAUUGCCAUUGCCACUGGUUCCACUUUUAACUGGAGAAACCCAAUGCUCACUGAAACAGCAGUGGAUAAAAUGGAACCUAAAGGACAGUCAUCAGACUAUAAAUUCCUAUCCCUGAGUCAAUACAUAUUUUAAGCUAAAUGAAGGAGAUCUGUCAAGAAAAGCUGGGAGAAAAUAGAAGCUAAGCUAAUAGUCUGGUGGCUGGGAUGCUUCCCUGGGAGAUGCAAUAUCAAACCCCCUUGAAGAGAGGAAGCAGUGUAUUCCAGCUUCCCAAUGAAGCAGUGUAUUCCAGCAUCCUGGAUGAACUCUGUACCCACUGGGGUGUCUGCAGAAGAGAGGUAAUACUGGCACAUUCACUGUCUCUCACUUUCCAUCUCCCGUGUUGUCUUCUUGCUGGAAACUAUUAGAAGCCUUUGAAGUGGCCAUGAAGCGCAUGGACAAAAAAGGCUCAGUGCAUACAAGCACCUGCUUAUCCUACUGGAGGACCAUGACCCAAGUUGCUUCCCCAAAGGUUCCCUAGGAAUAUAAACUCACAGGAUAAGGAGUGGAUUAAUGAUUAAGGGACAGGAAAUAAAAGGUGGAUAUAAGGAGCAAACCUUCAUGACAUGACAGAGUUCACCAGGGCAGUGUCAGAGGGAUGAGUGUUGAAAGGCCAUGAUGUUUGAAACUUCGUAAAUUACCUGGCAAAUGAAUGAGUAAUAAAUGUGACAAAUCUCCUGGUGGCAUGAGGAUAUGCUGAGUAAAACAGAAGGGUUAUCUGUGAAGAGCUGCAAAACAACCAUAUGCUACCAAAUGACAAGGUGAGAAGACAGCAGGAAAACUGCAACCUGGACUGAAAUUCAAAAGAAAGGACAUGGGAAAAACACUUCUGACCUCAUUAUAUCAAGAUGGGCUCUUGGGCCUAUUCUUAAAAAUAAUGUCAACUUAGUUUAUGUUCCAUAGCAGUUAGAAAAUUAAGUGUUUGUGAUGCUUUGUGAAGGGAUAGUGAACACAAUGGAGAAUGCGAGGAUAGCUCAGCAGGGCAUCUGCAUCCCAAAGACUGUGCACUUCCGAUCCUGCCAUCUGCAGAAGGGCUUAGCAGAAAGUACAGGGCUCAGAGGAGAGCAGUGUGAACGAUUUAAAAGUGCUUCCAUACAAAAGGAAAGGAUUUUUGGUCAUGCCUUACAUACAAGGCUUGGAUGUCUCUGCGUACACAGUAGCAGUUACAUGGUGAACGCUGGUGCCCUGAAGACUGGGUGUGCAGAACUACUGAACAGCCCCAGUGCCCGAUGCAGUGGGACAAAAAGCAGGCCUGCUCUAAGACUACUCUGUCACUUCCUACUUGAGAAACUUCAGUAAGAGAGAGACUAGUGUGCACUUACACGCAGUUUCGUUCUGUCUCUCCCUUUUCUCAUCAUGAAAUGGUUGGCACCUCACACCAAGCAGCCCUGGUUUUUCCUGUUCUGCUGGCCCCUAGAUUGCUGAGAAAACACCUCGAGGGCUCUUGUCCAGGACUGCUGCAGCUCCUCCAGUGAUUGUUGUGUGAAGAACUUGUCUGCCUUUUCUUGACCUCAGAUGGGGAUGCCUUUGCCUGCCAACACCUUUCUCUGAGGCACUUCCCAUCAUUUCUGCCCACUCCAGCCACAAAGACAACAGGAUGCAGGUUGCAUGCCUGAGACUUCAGGACUUGGGGAUGACAUCUUACAGCAGACCAGAGACCCACACUACAUGCUGUGAUUCCAGUGACUCUCCCCUGUGUAAGCUAUGACCCAUAUUUUGACUGUCUAAUAAAGAUGGCUCACUUAAAAAUCAAAUAUGGCUAAAAACUA